GCAUCAUGAGUUUUCAUUUGAGUGGUCUAAUCCUCUUGUUACAGGCCCAUCCUUGGAUCCAGAUGAGGGGGUUGAGGUUCACUCAGCUCGUAGAUGCUCUGACAGUACCUGUUAUUCUUUAUAUACGUGACCAGGAGACGUCCACUGAUAUAAGAGAGGGGCCAUCAUAGGUGACACAAGAGCAGGAGUGACCAUUGAAG
rnacentral:lncRNA from 1 species